CGUACACUUGCUUUCUUUCUUAUUCUCUUCUUUGUUUUCUCCUUUGUCAACCUCAACAACGCAAGAAAACUACCUGAGGAUUAUUGGAAGAACAUAAUGAAAGAUCAGCCUAUACCAGAAGCGAUCAAAAGCCUGCUUGUUGAAGAUUCAACUGAUGCUGCCGCUUCUUUAUUAGGUGCUAAUAAAAUGAACCAUUUUGUUAAGGAUUUUGAUACCAGAGCUAUUGCUGUUAUAUAUCACAGCCAUGGCGAGAAUAAGAAAAAUGAACAUUCCCCAUCAAAAUGAUGAUGAUGAUGAGAUUAAAGGAG
rnacentral:misc_RNA from 1 species